rnacentral:lncRNA from 1 species
UGCAGGCAUCAUAGAAGGAGGGCGCAAGGCAUCCAAAUUUGAGAUCCCCACACAUAAAGCAUUCUGAUUAUCUCUCAGAACCCACAUGUCCCCACUCCCCCACCUCAUAAGGCAGCAGCCAUGUUCACAUACCUCUGCAUCAUCGUAAUGCCACAGGAUCUCCACGUCCAGUUCAUUUUUAACAGAAAGGGCCCCUAGAGUAUAAAGGUUCUAAAACAGAAUUCAGAGACAAAGACAGAGGAAGAGUCCCUUGCAGACUGGUCCCCACCAGGUCGGUAAGCUCCUGAGCCACGCCAACCAGCACGCUGCAUGAUCUUGACUUAAGAGCCAACGCCAGGUUCCAAGUAUCUACCUUUGCCAUGUUCCCAACCAAGAGUCGCCACUGGGUGAAGCUCUCUGGAGAAAUGUGCCUUUGAUCAUCUAAUACAGAGCUUGGCAGACAAAUGUGUGGCCAUCCUUGAGUGUGGCUUGAGUGGAAGUUUUAAUAACUUGCAGAAGCCCUUAGCUGCUUCCUCUCAGAUAGUUCCCAGGUGGCCAACGUGGAGGUGAGUUGCGUGACCUUCUCUCUCCUCAAAUGCCGAAAACUCUGUCCACACGCCACUGAUAACAGCAACAGAUAUGCAACCAAAUGAAAUAUGCCUCCUCUUGGCAGCUGCUACAGAACGACGCUGCAGAAAGGAAAGGUCUUUGUGUGAAAAUGUAUCAUUCUUGUAUAUCCAAAAUAAAUUCUCAUGUCAAGACCGCCCACUCGGGCAAAACAAGCCUCUCUGCCUCAUCCAGUUGCAUCAAGUGUGCUUCAAAGUUGAGAAAAUGUGAG